AAAUAAUCAGUUUAAAUAUUCCUUUAAACAAUCCUUUUAGGUCUACAUUUCCUUUACACUGACUUCUUGGUAUAUGUACAAGUAUUUUGGGUGGAAUAUACCAUUAAGCCCAAUGUUCAAGGGUUCUUCUGGGAAUAUACCAUUAAACCAACCUUUUAGGUAAAUGUUCCAGGAUGUUGGGUAGAAUAUACCAUCAGAUCAACCUUUUAGGUCUACAUUGGAAGAUUUUAGAGUAGAAUAUUACUCCAAACCAUCCUUUAGGUCUACAUUUAAGGUGGAAUACUCCUUUACACCAAGAUUUUUUGGUCUACAUUGAAGGAUUUUAGGUGGAAUAUUCCUUUGAACGAACUUUUUAAGUUUAUGUUCAAGGAUGUUGGGUGGAAUAUACCAUCAGACCAACCUCCAAGGUCUACAGUAGUGAAUUUUAGGUGGAAUAUACCAUUAAACUCACCUUUUAGUCUACAUUUAAGGAUGUUUAGGAUGGUAUAUUCUUCCAAACCAACUUCUCAGGUCUACAUUUCAGGUGGAAUAUUCCUCCAUACUAACUUUUUUGGUCUACAUUGAAGGAUUUUUUUCUAAACCACCCUUUGGGGUCUAUAUUUGAGGUUUUAGGUGGAAUAUUCCUUUAAACCAACCUAAAUUUCAUGUUUUGAUCAUUAUCAAGUGAGAAACCUCAAUCCAGACUCCUCAUAAUGACGUUUGAGAUUUAUGCUGCUGUUAUUUGUUUAGUCCAGACUAAAUGACAGAAAUCCACAACUGUAAUUUUAUUUCAGGACUCGGUUAUUAAAUGUCAAAACAAUCCAUGUGACUCUAAAAACUCAACAGCUUUACAAACUCUAAGAUUAAACUCUCCACAAGGAUCCAAAAUAAGUUGGACUUCUACAUGAGAGCUUUAAUUAUUCUUCAUCUACUUCCU
ensembl:lncRNA